rnacentral:misc_RNA from 1 species
GAGCUUCCAUUACUUGACUAAACCAUUUCCUUUCUUGUUGCCUUAAACUCUUACUUUUGCAUAUGAACCUUUGACUGAAUUUAACUGUUGCUUGUUGGAAUAGAUAUCGAACCUAAAUCAGUGAUGGAUAUGGCAAUCAUGCAAAAUGUUGAUACGACAGAUAUUGGAUUGGGUUCUUCGGACAAGGGAAAUGCUGUUGUUCCAACAAAAAGAAAGAAGACAAUGACAUCAGUUUAUCUCAAGUAUUUUGAGACUGCUCCGGAUGGAAAGAGUCGGAGGUGCAAGUUUUGUGGACAGAGCUAUUCUAUUGCAACUGCUACAGGUUAAUUCCUUGGGCCUUCUCUGUUUCCCCUUGUCUCAUGGGGGAGAAAUACCCUGCCCCAAAUGUUCAUGUUCUGUAAUGAUGCAUCAUGAGUUCAUUGUCCUGACAUAUCAAAAGCAGCUAUGUUCUUAACUGGAUUUUCCAAAUUACACUUUCUUUUGCUUUCCAUGUACUUUCUUUUGAUGAAUUUCACCAGGCUAUAUGAUGAUUAAAGCAAUUUUCUUAUGAACAUAUUAUCUACAAUGGUGAAGGCAAUUUGGGAAGGCACCUCAGUAAUCGGCAUCCAGGAUAUGAUAAGUCUGGAGAUUCUGUCACCACUUCAGCACCACAACCCAUCACUGUGAUCAAGAAAGCUCAACCUCAGGGAAAAGCACAUGUGGAUUAUGAUCAUCUGAAUUGGUUGCUCAUUAAGUGGCUUAUCUUAGCUUCUCUUCCUCCUUCAUCCUUGGAGGAAAAGUGGUUGGCAAACUCAUUUAAAUUUCUGAACCCAUCAAUACAACUCUGGUCAGGUGACAAGUACAAAGCAGUAUUUCGUGAAGUUUUCAGGAGCAUGCAGGAAGAUGUGAGGGCAUCAGUGGAACAGGUUUCUUCUAAGGUUUCAAUCAUUUUGGAUUUCUGGACUUCUUAUGAGCAGAUAUUCUAUAUGAGUGUCACUUGUCAAUGGAUAGAUGAACACUGGUCCUUCCAAAAGAUACUUCUUGACAUUUGUCAUAUACCUUACCCUUGUGGCAGUUCUGAGAUCUAUCAUUCCCUAACAAAGGUUCUUAAGAUGUACAACAUAGAGAAUAGAGUCCUCUCCUGCACCCAUGAUAAUAGUCAGAAUGCCAUUCAUGCCUGCCACACCCUAAAAGAGGAUUUAGAAGGUCAGAAAUUGACGCCUUUCUGCUAUAUUCCUUGUGCUGCUCGUGCUUUGAAUUUGAUUAUAGAUGAUGGAUUAAGAACCACAAAACCAGUUAUCUCUAAGAUCAGGGAGUUUGUAUUAGAAUUAAAUUCCUCAGUAGAGAUGGCAGAAGAUUUUAUUCAAAUAACUACAGCUUAUCAGGAAGGCAGUUGGAAGUUCCCACUUGAAACUUCAGCACGGUGGAGUGGUAAUUACCAGAUGCUUGAUCUUGUGCGCAAGGCUGGUAAGUCUAUGGAUAGUGUUAUGAGGAAGUACGAGGAAACAUUAGGUGGUAGGAUGUUGCUUAGCUCUACAGAAAAGAAUGCAGUUAGUAUUGUGCAUGGAUAUUUGGAGCCUUUCUACAAAACAACCAAUAACAUAUGCACAAACAAGUUACUAACCAUUGGAUUAGUUCUCUUCUUCAUGGAUCAUAUUUCUGAGAUGAUUACCAUAUGCAGAGAGUCUCGUCACAGUCCAGAUUGGCUUAAAAAUGCCGCAGAAGAAAUGGCCAAGAAGGCCAGGAGUUACAACAGUCAGGUUUCCAACAUAUUCACCUACAUGACUGCAAUUCUUGAUCCCCGAAUAAAAAGUGAGCUCAUCCCUGAGAGUCUUAGCACAGGAAAUUAUCUAGAUGAAGCCAGAAACCAUUUCAUAAGAAAUUACACUUCAAGCCAUUUUUCAUCCAUGACAAGUGGAUAUGGUAGUCAAGAGAUUGAAGAUGGAGGCAGUGUUUCCUUUGCAGAGGAAAUUGCUCGAAAAAAGCGCAGGGCAAGCUUAAGCAAUUCUACUGAUGAGCUCACUCAGUAUCUAUCCGAGCCUCCCGCUCCAAUACCAACAGAUGUUCUAGAGUGGUGGAAGGUCAACAGCACGCGUUACCCUCGGCUUUCUAUAAUGGCAAGGGAUUUUUUGGCUGUGCAGCCAACUUCAGUAGCUCCUGAAGAACUCUUCUGCAGUAAGGGUGAUGAGAUCGAUAAGCAACGGUUUUGUAUGCCACAUGAUAGCACACAAGCCAUUCUUUGCAUUAGAUCAUGGACUCAAGGAGGGAUCAAGUUAAAGUACAAGUCAACAGAAAUAGAUUAUGAGAGGUUGAUGGAGUUGGCAUUAGUUGCUGCAGCAGAUAACAGCACUACUGGGUCUGACAAAAAACAAAAAUGACAAGACACAUUGAAGAAUGAGAAAUGCUGAUUAUAAUUAGUGGAUGGAAGCAGCAAAACGAUUUCUGCCAGUGAUCUAGUUUGUAUCCUGCUUAGUCUGUAAUUUAGGUUCCACUCGCAAGAGGAAACCGUUUUUCAAUAUUUUUCUUCUUGAUGUCGUAUGUAUCAAUAUAAUGUAUUUGUGUACAGUUCAAGUAACUAGAGAGGCUGACAGGUUAAUCUCAUGUGAUGAUGUAAACAUACAAGUAAUUUAUUGAGAUUCUCAUCAUAUCAGACAGCUUAAAA